rnacentral:misc_RNA from 1 species
AAAGUCGUAACAAGGUUUCCGUAGGUGAACCUGCGGAAGGAUCAUUAUUGAAUGAACUUGAUGGAUUGUUGCUGGCUCUAUUUGUAGGGCAUGUGCACGUCUGUCAUUUUUAUCUUUCCACCAUGUGCACUAUGCGUAGACCUGAAUUAUCUCUUUGAUUGAAGGUUUCCUUUGAUUUCUGGAAAUUGCUAUUGCAACUGCAAUAGCUCUUUCUGUAUUCAGGUUCUAUGAAUUUUAUAUACUCCAAUGUAUGUUGACGAACGUUACUCUAAGGCCUUUACAAGCCUAUAAAUUUAUAAUACAACUUUCAGCAACGGAUCUCUUGGCUCUC